GUGUCAGCCGCCGCGGUAAUACGUAGGGUGCGAGCGUUAAUCGGAAUUACUGGGCGUAAAGCGUGCGCAGGCGGUUCGUUAAGUUCGAUGUGAAAGCCCCGGGCUCAACCUGGGAAUGGCAUUGAAAACUGGCGGGCUUGAGUCUGGCAGAGGGGGGUGGAAUUCCGCGUGUAGCAGUGAAAUGCGUAGAGAUGCGGAGGAACACCGAUGGCGAAGGCAGCCCCCUGGGCCAAGACUGACGCUCAGGCACGAAAGCGUGGGGAGCAAACAGGAUUAGAAACCCUUGUAGUCC
rnacentral:rRNA from 1 species